GACGAACGCUGGCGGCGUGCUUAACACAUGCAAGUCGAACGGUGAAAGCGGAGCUUGCUCCGCUGGAUCAGUGGCGAACGGGUGAGUAACACGUGGGCAACCUGCCCCUCACUUCGGGAUAACUCCGGGAAACCGGGGCUAAUACCGGAUAUGACCUCCUUGGGCAUCCUUGGAGGUGGAAAGUUUUUCGGUGAGGGAUGGGCCCGCGGCCUAUCAGCUUGUUGGUGAGGUAGUGGCUCACCAAGGCGACGACGGGUAGCCGGCCUGAGAGGGCGACCGGCCACACUGGGACUGAGACACGGCCCAGACUCCUACGGGAGGCAACAGUGGGGAAUAUUGCGCAAUGGGCGAAAGCCUGACGCAGCAACGCCGCGUGCGGGAUGACGGCCUUCGGGUUGUAAACCGCUUUCAGCAGGGAAGAAGCCGCAAGGUGACGGUACCUGCAGAAGAAGCACCGGCUAACUACGUGCCAGCCGCCGCCGUAA
rnacentral:rRNA from 1 species